CUUUUUGCAAAGAUUGAUUUACGAAAAACUUGAAUAACUGGGCCAAAAUUAUUCUGAUUUAGACUUAUGGGGUCUCAGUAGAAAGAUAUUUUCCCACUCUUUUUAGUUUUGUCAAAAAAAAAUUAUUAUUUUUUCAAA